rnacentral:rRNA from 1 species
CCUACGGGCGGCAGCAGUGAGGAAUAUUGGUCAAUGGACGAGAGUCUGAACCAGCCAAGUAGCGUGAAGGAUGACUGCCCUAUGGGUUGUAAACUUCUUUUAUAUGGGAAUAAAAUGUUCCACGUGUGGGAUUUUGUAUGUACCAUAUGAAUAAGGAUCGGCUAACUCCGUGCCAGCAGCCGCGGUAAUACGGAGGAUCCGAGCGUUAUCCGGAUUUAUUGGGUUUAAAGGGAGCGUAGGUGGAUUGUUAAGUCAGUUGUGAAAGUUUGCGGCUCAACCGUAAAAUUGCAGUUGAAACUGGCAGUCUUGAGUACAGUAGAGGUGGGCGGAAUUCGUGGUGUAGCGGUGAAAUGCUUAGAUAUCACGAAGAACUCCAAUUGCGAAGGCAGUUCACUGGACUGCAACUGACACUGAGGCUCGAAAGUGUGGGUAUCAAACAGGAUUAGAUACCCGUGUAGUC